UACGGAGGGUGCGAGCGUUGUCCGGAAUCACUGGGCGUAAAGGGCGCGUAGGCGGCUCGGUAAGUAGGGGGUGAAAUCCUGCGGCUUAACCGCAGGGCUGCCUUCUAAACUGUCGAGCUCGAGCACGGUAGAGGCAGAUGGAAUUCCCGGUGUAGCGGUGGAAUGCGUAGAGAUCGGGAAGAACAUCAGUGGCGAAGGCGGUCUGCUGGGCCGUUGCUGACGCUGAGGCGCGACAGCGUGGGGGAGCAAACAGG
rnacentral:rRNA from 1 species